AGAGGUGAUGCGUAGCCGAUUGAGGCGAAGUAGGGUGAUCCCAUGCUGCCGAGAAAAGCCUCUAGCGAGUUCUUGUGUGGCCCGUACCCUAAACCGACACAGGUGGUCAGGUAGAGAAUACCGAGGCGAUCGAGUGCACUCUGGUUAAGGAACUCGGCAAAAUACCCCCGUAACUUCGGGAGAAGGGGGGCCGGAGGCUCUGAAGCUCCUUGCGGGCCAGGGGCAGCCGGUCGCAGAGACCAGGCCCAAGCGACUGUUUACUAAAAACACAGGUCCGUGCGAAGUCGUAAGACGAUGUAUACGGACUGACGCCUGCCCGGUGCUGGAAGGUUAAGAGGACCGGUUAGCCGCAAGGCGAAGCUGAGAAUUUAAGCCCCAGUAAACGGCGGUGGUAACUAUAACGGUCCUAAGGUAGCGAAAUUCCUUGUCGGGUAAGUUCCGACCUGCACGAAUGGAGUAACGACUUCCCCGCUGUCUCAACCAUAAACUCGGCGAAAUUGCAGUACGAGUAAAGAUGCUCGUUACGCGCAGCAGGACGGAAAGACCCCGGGACCUUCACUAUAGCUUGGUAUUGGUGUUUGGUUCGGUUUGUGUAGGAUAGGUGGGAGACUGUGAAACCGUCACGCUAGUGGUGGUGGAGUCGUUGUUGAAAUACCACUCUGAUCGGAUUGAGCAUCUAACCUUGGCCCAUGAUCUGGGUUGGGGACAGUGCCUGGUGGGUAGUUUAACUGGGGCGGUUGCCUCCUAAAAAGUAACGGAGGCGCCCAAAGGUUCCCUCAGCCUGGUUGGCAAUCAGGUGUUGAGUGUAAGUGCACAAGGGAGCUUGACUGUGAGACUGACAUGUCGAGCAGGGACGAAAGUCGGGACUAGUGAUCUGACGGUGGCGUGUGGAAGCGCCGUCACUCAACGGAUAAAAGGUACCCCGGGGAUAACAGGCUGAUCUUGCCCGAGCGUCCAUAGCGACGGCAUGGUUUGGCACUCGAUGUCGGCUCAUCGCAUCCUGGGGCUGUAGUCGGUCCCAAGGGUUGGGCUGUUCGCCCAUUAAAGC
rnacentral:rRNA from 1 species